CACGCCUGUCUGAGGGUCGGCGACUAAGCCAUCGUCAAAGGACGUGUCUUCGCGGACGCGACCGGCGACGC
rnacentral:rRNA from 1 species